AGGGGGCGGGCAGCAGCGGGGAAUCCCCGGAUUGUUCUAAGAGGGUUCUUGAGGGGAGAAAGGAACGAAAACCUGGAGGGAAGCAGCCCCCAGAGUCGGACCACCCGGACCCCACAGAAAAGUCUCCCCUGAGUGGGGUCUCCUGUCGCUGUCGGGACAGUGAUCGGGGAUCAGGAUCGGAGAGGACAGGGCGGUUUCGCCCACGCCUGUUGGUGCGCUCCGCAGGCGGGGCCUCCGGGGCCAGUGUUCCUUAACCCCACCGCGCCCGGACCGAAAUCAACAGUAACUGGCGCUCUGGACAUGGCUGCGCUCUAAGCUGGGGACCUGAAGACCCCUUCACACCCGGACCCUGCCCUCGAGGUGCUCAAGAUCUGUGACGGGAGGCAACACAGACACAAGGCAGACAACAUAUGACAGAGAGAUAAGAAAGCACGGAGGAGAAAGGGACUGAAGGGACGAGGCCCUGCUUUGCGGAGGUGAUGCGUUGGGUCGCGAGGGAUGCUAUAGGAAUUGGCCAGGAGGAGAGAAAAGAGGAUUCCAGGCAGCGGGAAGAACAAAUGCAGUUCAAAAACUUCCAGCAGAUUUGAGCCUGGAAGAACAAGAGGCAGGACCGCCCUUGUGGGAAGAAAGGUUUAGGGGUCCAGUUCGUCGCAGAAAAUUUAUGACCCUGAGAGUAAAGGGAUGCAGCGGAUUCAUCUAGCAACCCCUGGCCCAGAGGAGAGAAGAAGGUUGUCUCAGAUUUCACAGGACUGGAUGGCCGAGCUGGCCAGCAACCCAGUAUCCUGACUCAGGGCUCAACCGGUGACUCUAUUUGGGCGGCCUCUGGAGGAGCAGCAGCGUUUCCUGCAGAUGUGCUCAAGAGAAAACCAAGCACAGCCCAAGAAGAAGCUUCCUCCUACGGUUCUCAACCUCCCUCCCCGCAGCAGACAGGCCACACCUCACCCCUCUGUAGAGUGGGUCCAGGCUCAGUGAAGGCAGGUGGCUGUGAAAUUCCCAAGGUUUUAGGAUGCUGGCCUAUGUGAAAAGCAGCUGAUCCAAUGUGAUGCAGUUUGAGGACAAUGAGUGAAAAGGUACCUGACCCAGCUACAGUGUAACUCAUGCAGACCUGGAACCCACAGCCCAGGCUCAGAACGCUUGGUUCUACCGCUUCGCGACGUUUCCUGGCCGGUACAAACUCACUACGGUUCCCAAACUCCAUCUCCCAACAUGACCUGGGCACUUCUUCUGCAACUCUGGCUCUUGGACUUCUGGGAAAUGUAGUUUUCACAGCGCUCCAACUCCACAGAGGUUCUAGCGGAGAACUAAGGCUCCCGUAAGGCAGUGCGUGGGCCGUUCGCUGCGGCCGCCAUGUUUGCCCUGAAGGGUGCCAGAAUCGGCCCUCGCGGGUUAGCGCAACCGUGACCAACUAUAGCCACGGAUAUAGCCAACUAUAUCCGGGAAGAGGAGCAUCGCGACCGUGCUGUGCCUCCCUCUGCCACUGCUUAGAUCUCUGCUGCUCUGGGGUUGUGGAGACGUCUCAACAGAAGCGGAGCUGACAGGGCCCCGGGAAGCCAUGGUGACAGAGCAGCCACAACCUCUGGGGGACUUGGGGUCAACAUCAACCAGCCCGCUGCCCGAGGGCCAUUGGGCGGGCCUGACGGGAAGCGCAGGCGCAAAUGCAGGGCCUCGAGGCGUCUGUAAACACCCAAGAGCGCCUGCGCAAACGGAGUGUUUCGGGAUGGCCACGUGGGGGCGCCCUAGCGAAGAUAACAGUUAAUAAAUAGUAACGUAACGGCCCUGUUA